rnacentral:rRNA from 1 species
UAGAGCCACACCACCCUGAACACGCUCAAUCUCAUCUGGUCCUGGGAGCUAAGCAGGGUUGGGCCUGGUUAGUGCUUGGAAGGGAGACAGACGUGGUCUAGCAGGUGAUGGCAGUGU